AUGAGGACCGGUAGCCUCCUCCUCAUCAUUUUCGCCAUUGUUGUCGUGGCUUACCCAUUUGCAGCAUCCGCCGAGGAAGAGUGGUAUCCUAUUGGAGACCCCGACAACGAACCACACGUCCAAGAGCUGGGCGGGUGGGCAGUGGCGGAGCACGUCAAGCAGGCACACGACAGGCUCAAAUUCAUCAAGGUGGUGAGCGGUGCGGAGGCAAAUGCCGCCGGUGUGAAAUAUCGCCUCGACAUUAAAGCAUUGAACAACAACGGCGAAGCCGGUGCAUACAAAGCGAUUUUACUCGAGGAGGUCAGGGACAACGAGCGCACCCUCAUCUCCUUCGGACCCGCGAACUAA
rnacentral:rRNA from 1 species